rnacentral:rRNA from 1 species
UACCUGCAAGUCGAACGGAAACAUGUCUAGCUUGCUAGAUGAUGUCGAGUGGCGGACGGGUGAGUAAUGCUUGGGAACUUGCCUUUGCGAGGGGGAUAACAGUUGGAAACGACUGCUAAUACCGCAUAAUGUCUUCGGACCAAACGGGGCUUCGGCUCCGGCGCAAAGAGAGGCCCAAGUGAGAUUAGCUAGUUGGUGAGGUAAAGGCUCACCAAGGCAACGAUCUCUAGCUGUUCUGAGAGGAAGAUCAGCCACACUGGGACUGAGACACGGCCCAGACUCCUACGGGAGGCAGCAGUGGGGAAUAUUGCACAAUGGGGGAAACCCUGAUGCAGCCAUGCCGCGUGUGUGAAGAAGGCCUUCGGGUUGUAAAGCACUUUCAGUUGUGAGGAAAAGUUAGUAGUUAAUACCUGCUAGCCGUGACGUUAACAACAGAAGAAGCACCGGCUAACUCCGUGCCAGCAGCCGCGGUAAUACGGAGGGUGCGAGCGUUAAUCGGAAUUACUGGGCGUAAAGCGCACGCAGGCGGUUUGUUAAGCUAGAUGUGAAAGCCCCGGGCUCAACCUGGGACGGUCAUUUAGAACUGGCAGACUAGAGUCUUGGAGAGGGGAGUGGAAUUCCAGGUGUAGCGGUGAAAUGCGUAGAUAUCUGGAGGAACAUCAGUGGCGAAGGCGACUCCCUGGCCAAAGACUGACGCUCAUGUGCGAAAGUGUGGGUAGCGAACAGGAUUAGAUACCCUGGUAGUCCACACCGUAAACGCUGUCUACUAGCUGUUUGUGACUUUAAGUCGUGAGUAGCGAAGCUAACGCGAUAAGUAGACCGCCUGGGGAGUACGGCCGCAAGGUUAAAACUCAAAUGAAUUGACGGGGGCCCGCACAAGCGGUGGAGCAUGUGGUUAAUUCGAUGCACGCGAAGACCUUACUACACUUGACAU